rnacentral:tRNA from 1 species
AGCUCUGUAGUGAAGUUCAUGUUGAGUUGCAAGCUCAAUGAUGUGUAUAAAGAUACACCAGGGCUU